UAGCUAGUUGGUGGGGUAAGGGCCUACCAAGGCGACGAUCGGUAGCUGGUCUGAGAGGAUGACCAGCCACACUGGAACUGAGACACGGUCCAGACUCCUACGGGAGGCAGCAGUGGGGAAUAUUGGACAAUGGGGGCAACCCUGAUCCAGCAAUGCCGCGUGUGUGAAGAAGGCCUGAGGGUUGUAAAGCACUUUCAGUGGGGAGGAGGGUUGAUAGGUUAAGAGCUAAUUAACUGGACGUUACCCACAGAAGAAGCACCGGCUAACUCCGUGCCAGCAGCCGCGGUAAUACGGAGGGUGCGAGCGUUAAUCGGAAUUACUGGGCGUAAAGGGUGCGUAGGUGGUUGAUUAAGUUAUCUGUGAAAUUCCUGGGCUUAACCUGGGACGGUCAGAUAAUACAGGUUGACUCGAGUAUGGGAGAGGGUAGUGGAAUUUCCGGUGUAGCGGUGAAAUGCGUAGAGAUCGGAAGGAACACCAGUGGCGAAGGCGGCUACCUGGCCCAAUACUGACACUGAGGCACGAAAGCGUGGGGAGCAAACAGGAUUAGAUACCCUGGUAGUCCACGCUGUAAACGAUGUCAACUAGCUGUUGGUUAUAUGAAAAUAAUUAGUGGCGC
rnacentral:rRNA from 1 species